AAUGAGCAUCAUCCAUUUAAAAAGUCGGUAUGAAGUUUUUUCUUAACUUUAGGUAAAGUGAUCAACGACACCAAAUAUGAAAUGGAAAGGCAUUCAGGGCAAUGCCAAUUCAUUAGUCAAGGUUGUUAUGGAUGAUGGGAUUGCCUUAGGCUUCCACCUUUCAGACCAAAGCAGAAUCUGUGUCAUCACUAAUCAUAGAUUACUAGCUAAGGCCAAGUAGAAAUGUCAAUACAACAACUUAAGGAGAAAGCAAGCUGAUUUUUAAAGAUAGAUGCUGAUGUUUUAUGGAAUUUGUUUAGGUGGUUGAGUUCUGGAUCGUGGGGAUAGGGAGGGAGGAGACACGGUUGAGGUUAAUACUCCAGAUUGACCUCAUCUUGCUAAUUGGAGUCCUAUUCAUAGUAAUCUUAAUUAAAUACUGUAUGAGACAAAUUGAAUGGAGUUGAACUCACUCAUCAGUUAGAUUAAUCAAAGUAGCUGAAGUAGUGAUGAACUCAUGGGGGAAAUUAAGUAGACAUCAAGAUGGUACAGAAAUGAAGGAAGAGUAGAUCUUGUUGACAGGCAAUUCUCUAUGGGUCUCUUGCAUUUCUACUUAUCUUGUAAGCAAUGAUACUAACACCUUUGUUUUGAACCACCUUUUCAAGGCUCUUCCUAUAUUAACAAUGUCUCCUUCCAGGACAAAGGUCAGGCAGGUUUGUUUAGAGACCACUAUGAAAAAUUUGAGCUUCCAAAGCUCAGAGUUUCUUUCCUGUGAUGCAACCGCCACAUAUGCAGGAAUCACCUGACGCUUUUCAUAUCACCCUGUGGUAAUUGAGACUUAAGAACUGGUCAAGAAAAUCAUGACACUCUGGCUAUACUGUCGUUGCUUGUUCUUCAUAGGAAAUAAUCUGGAGUCCAUUCUCUCUAUCCUGCUUUGUCCUUCCUGAAGUAAGUUCCAGUUUGUCAAUAUCUUAUGCAGAAUGUGGCAUUCAGAAAUAAGGACAAUUCUUCUAGUGAAAUAACUGAUGCUUAUGUAAGUAUAACAAUGUGUUACUGGUGAAAUGAAUCAACAUAGUAAAUUCUGCUAUAAACAUACAAC
rnacentral:lncRNA from 1 species